GAUGAACGUUGGCGGCGUGCCUAAUACAUGCAAGUCGAACGAAGACUGUAGUAAUACUGUCUUAGUGGCGAACGGGUGAGUAACGCGUGGGCAACCUGCCCCUGAGCCCGGGAUAACAGUUCGAAAGGACUGCUAAGACCGGAUAUACUUGCGGUGAAGCAUUUCACUGCAAGGAAAGGGAACGCUCAGGGAUGGGCCCGCGUCCCAUUAGCUAGUUGGUGAGGUAACGGCCCACCAAGGCGACGAUGGGUAGCCGGCCUGAGAGGGUGAACGGCCACACUGGGACUGAGACACGGCCCAGACUCCUACGGGAGGCAGCAGUUGGGAAUCUUCGGCAAUGGGCGCAAGCCUGACCGAGCAACGCCGCGUGAGUGAUGAAGGUUUUCGGAUUGUAAAGCUCUGUCUUCCGGGACGAUAAUGACGGUACCGGAGGAGGAAGCCACGGCUAACUACGUG
rnacentral:rRNA from 1 species